UAGUGGUGACAGUGCUUAUUGUCGCGUAUUCAAUGACAAAGGCUAGGACAGCAACAGAAUGAGAAUUAAUUUGUCUUUCCAGCUACUGCUUUUUAAGGUGCAGUCGCUAGAUGGCGCGCUUCCAGGGAGCUCGUUGUCUGUCGAGCGGCUCAGGACUAUGAAGCUGUGUUCUCUGGGACAGUGGCACCAGCACCAUUGAAAGUCUUCCAAGGUCACUCAAGAUGGACGGAAAACUGAAUCAUCACAGUGCUAGAAAAGCAAGGGGCAGGAAGAAGCUGGACCCCAUGCAUGCCCUGUGUGCUCUUCCGAAAUAGCCCGUGGCAGUUUCAGACCCCAGUCAACAGAUGUCGCUUUACAGACGAACCCUGUUUGUUUGAGAUUGCUUUUCUGUAUCUGGGCUGAAAGUCCUAAUGUAAUAGUUUGCCCUUCCUCUGUUCCUUCUUUUGUAUUGACCACUGUCUGUGCUUACGAAGCAAAGGGGGUGGGGGGUGCUUCCUAGAACCCACUGUCCUAGUCUGGCAGUUGUAGCAUUUAACUAAAAACACCAUUUGAAAAUAUUUAUAAUUUUUAAAAUGAAGCCUUUUACAUAAAUGAUUAAAAACUUUGCAUAUCUUUUUUUUCCCCGUUGUAAACACCAGCGUUUCAAGAACAACAAAGUUUACAACCUAAAGCUGCUAUUCCUUACUUAGAUUAAAAACUGAAUCGCUCUGGAGCUUGUAAGAGGUCUGUCCAGAGCUUAUGUGUUCACACAAGCCUGGAUUCAGUCCCCGGUACUGUACACGAAUCUGUACACUAUGACCAUAGUUUUAAAAAUGAAGCACAAAACCCACCAACAAGGCUGUAGCUCUGUGAAAGAACACUUGGUGAUGUGAGUUAGGCUCUGGGUUCUGUCUCUAACGGUGCAAAAUAAAACUAACUAAAGUAAUUUCAAAUGUAACAAGAGAGAAAACAUCUGGAGUUGUAAACUUCAGCUAUGGCAUGAAAGUAAUUUUCUUUUCCUUUGUAUCGUUCUUAAUUUUCUAUACUUCCUGUAAGCAUGCUAUAUGAUAAAUUAAGAUGACAUUCAUUAUGAUUUCUAUAAUCUGACACUUCUAUUGUUAAAGCCUAAAUGAUAUUCUCACAUUUUUAUAUUCAAAAGCUACUGUUUUCAUUGUCUGUCAUUUAAGGUAACCAAUGUUUCUGUAAGCUUUCUAAACAUCUGAAUGAAAUGACGCAAGCCACAGAGACUGGAAACAUACACAACACUGUAUAAUAAGAUAUUUUUUGGGAGGUGGGCUCUGGAGAGAUGGCUCUUCAUGGGCUGCUCUUCCAAGGACCUGGGUUCGAUUUCCAGUACCCACAUGGUGGCUCACAACCAUCUCCAACUGCAGUCUCAUAGGAUCCCUCUUCUGGUAUGCAGACCACACAGAAAAAAAAUAUGUAUUAAA
rnacentral:lncRNA from 1 species